rnacentral:rRNA from 1 species
GAUGAACGCUGGCGGCGUGCUUAACACAUGCAAGUCGAACGGAAAGGCCCUGCUUUUGUUGGGUUCUCGAGUGGCGCACGGGUGAGUAUCACGUGAGUAACCUGCCCUUGACUUUGGGAUAACUUCAGGAAACUGGGGCUAAUAUCGGAUAGGAGCUCCUGCUGCAUGGUGGGGGUUGGAAAGUUUCGGCGGUUGGGGAUGGACUCGCGGCUUAUCAGCUUGUUUGUGGGGUAGUGGCUUACCAAGGGUUUGACGGAUAGCCGGCCUGAGAGGGUGACCGGCCACAUUGCGACUGAGGUACGGCCCAGACGGCUACGGGAGGCAGUAGUGGGGAAUAUUGCACAAUGGGGGGAAGCGUGAUGCAGCAACCCCGCGUGCGGGAUGACGGCCUUCGGGUUGUAAACCGCUUUCGCCGGUGAUGAAGCGUGAGUGACGGUAAUGGGUAAAGAAGCACCGGCUAACUACGUG